UGCGCCUACGGGACGCAGCAGUGGGGAAUAUUGCACAAUGGGGGGAACCCUGAUGCAGCGACGCCGCGUGAGGGAAGAAGGUUUUUGGAUUGUAAACCUCUGUCCUUGGUAAAGAAGCAAGACGGUAGCCAAGGAGGAAGCCACGGCUUACUACGUGCCAGCAGCCGCGGUAAUACGUGGGUGGCAAGCGUUGUCCGGAAUUACUGGGUGUAAAGGGAGCGUAGGCGGUUAUGCAAGGUGAAUGUGAAAUGUAUCGGCUGCACUGAUAGGCGGGG
rnacentral:rRNA from 1 species